CCCGGGCACCCACGAUCCACCUACCGGUAUUUUUGGUGAAUCACGCGAUUCAAAUAUGCACCCAUUCCGAUCCACCACUGAUUAGACGAGCCGUACGACACACGUACAUUCAUAGACACACACCGAUGAUGGCGAUUAGCGAUUACCGUAUGACAAUUCACAAUAUGCUCGCGUACAGCCGAAUCCUAUCGCGGAGCGUAUGGUCCGAAUAAUUCGCUCCCGAGUCCUGCAGC